CUGAUCUCAGAGCAUCUUGACUUAAAGACAUCUGCUUCCAGCAUCAAGGGGGGCUGGUCCAGCUGGAGCUGAGAAACCAGCUCUGACAAAGAUGAGACGAGCAUCAGUGGGAAACGUUCCCUCAAGGUCAACACAACAUAAGCUACAGGAGCAAAGCUGUGUGCUGAACUGGCAGAUUGUCAACGUCUCCCAAGGAGUCCUUACUUUAAUGAUAUGAAGGGAUUAUGGAGAGCAGGAGCCUGUGAGUCAGCUAGACUUCUAGAACCAGCAACUUGCCUUUUCCUGCUAACUGGGCACCGACUUUGGUCUAGUUUUCACAGCAUUUUUUUUAAAGCUGUCCCAGGAUGAAGACCCAACACUAUUACUAAGUCUAGGGAGUGCUCACAAAAAGGGACCUAGCAUGACUGCCCUCCGAAAGACCCAACAAGCAGCUGAAAGAGUCAGAUGCAGAUAUUUGCACUCAACCAAUGAACACAAGCAGCUGACCCCUGGUGUUGAAUUCGGGAAGGCUGAAAGAAGCUGAGGAGAAAAGAUCUCUUAAUGAACUUAAAACUUGCUAAUGUAGUAGGCUGCCAGGCCAGCAAGACCCACAGAUACUCUGUUUCUGAAUCUCAAGUACUGAGAUUAACUGAUCCCAGCUUUGUUGUGAAGAUGUAUCUUAGAGUUGAUGAUCUAAUGUCUCAACAUCUGCAUUGAUCCAGUCAACCUUGCCGCUGCUAUUGUCAUGUUUGACACAACAUUCUGUGUGUUUCUCCAUGUGUAUGCUAAAUGUCUGAAGCUGCACUUCAUUGUGGUUUUGAUGUAGGAGGUACAGUGAUGUUGCGUACCCAAAUCAUACAACUGGGGGCAUUUGAAGAUUUUUCUUGAGAAAUAUU